UCAUAUCAUAUUGAGACACCGGUUCUCGUCCGAUCACCGAAAUUAAGCAACGUUGGGCCUGGUCAGUAUUUAGACAGGUGACUGCUGAAGAAUACCA